rnacentral:tRNA from 1 species
GGGCGCGUAGCUCAGUGGGAGAGCAUCCGCCUUACAAGCGGAGGGUCGGGGGUUCGAAACCCUCCGCGCCCACCA